UACGGAGGGUGCAAGCGUUGCUCGGAAUUAUUGGGCGUAAAGGGUAGGUAGGUGGUCUCAUUUGUCUGGGGUGAAAGCCUUGAGCUUAACUCAAGAAGUGCCCCCAGAAACGGUGAGACUAGAGUCCUGGAGAGGGUCGUGGAAUUCCCGGUGUAGCGGUGAAAUGCGUAGAGAUCGGGAGGAACAUCAGUGGCGAAGGCGGCCAUCUGGAUCAACACUGACGCUGAGACACGAAAGCGUGGGGAGCAAACAGG
rnacentral:rRNA from 1 species